AGAGAGUCAGAGAGAGAGAGAGAGAGAGAGAGAGAGAGGUCAAAGAGAGAGAGAGAGAGAGAGAGGUCAAAGAGGAAAAGAGAGAGAGAGAGAGAGAGAGGUCAAAGAGGAAAAGAGAGAGAGAGAGAGAGAGAGAGAGAGAGAGAGAGAGAGAGAGAGAGAGAGAGAGGUCAAAGAGGAAGAGAAGAGAGAGAGGUCAAAGAGGAAGAGAAGAGAGAGAGGUCAAAGAGGAAGAGAAGAGAGGAGGGAGAUGGAGAGAGAGAAGACAUCAGAUUUCACACAUGACUAUUAGAUAAGUGCAUCUUUCUCUCCAAAUCCUCAUUAUAGCAUUAUGUUGUGAGCUGGAGUUAAAUCCUCAUUAUAGCAUUACGUUGUGAG
ensembl:lncRNA